GAGCGCACGCCGCCUUCGGGGUGUUCCGGCGUCGUAGUCGUGCACUUCUCCCCUAGUAGAACGUCGCGACCCGUUGCGUGUCGGUCUACGGCCCGAGCGGUAGCCUGUCCCGUCUCGCCUCGCGCGUGCGUGGACAGACCCUCGGUCGCCCGGCCGGCUGCGCGACGGUACCCGCACGGUAUCGGGCCGCAGCGAUUUUAUUAAAAAUCGCGUGCGUCAGGCCCGUCGCAAGCUGGGUCAGUUCCCAUACCCGGAGGUGUUUACGGACCCGGUGCCGUCCCCGGGCCUGGCCAGCUGCUAGCCGACGGUGUCCUCUGACUGUGUCCAUUUGAAUCCUUUACUCUAUUACCGGUCGGCGACGCUAUUGCUUUGGGUACUCUCAGGACCCGUCUUGAAACACGGACCAAGGAGUCUAACAUGUGCGCGAGUCAUUGGGAUCGAUAUUUGAAACCUAAAGGCGGAAUGAAAGUGAAGGU
rnacentral:rRNA from 3 species